rnacentral:rRNA from 1 species
CCUACGGGUGGCAGUAGUGAGGAAUAUUUGACAAUGGACGCAAGUCUGAACCAGCCAAGUAGCGUGCAGGAUGACGGCCCUCCGGGUUGUAAACUGCUUUUAGUUGGGAAUAAAAGGGGUCUCGUGAGCCCCGUAUUGUAUGUACCAUCAGAAAAAGGACCGGCUAAUUCCGUGCCAGCAGCCGCGGUAAUACGGAAGGUCCGGGCUGUAUCCGGAUUUAUUGGGUGUAAAGGGAGCGUAGGCGGGCUUUUAAGUCAGCUGUGAAAGUCGGCGGCUCAACCGUGGAAUUGCAGUUGAAACUGGAGGCCUUGAGUGCACAUAGGGAUGCCGGAAUUCAUGGUGUAGCGGUGAAAUGCUUAGAUAUCAUGAAGAAAUCCGAUCGCGAAGGCAAGUGUCCGGGGUGCAACUGACGCUGAGGCUCGAAAGUGCGGGUAUCAAACAGGAUUAGAUACCCGAGUAGUC